rnacentral:rRNA from 1 species
GACGAACGCUGGCGGCGUGCUUAACACAUGCAAGUCGAACGGAAAGGCCCUGCUUUUGUGGGGUGCUCGAGUGGCGAACGGGUGAGUAACACGUGAGUAACCUGCCCUUGACUUUGGGAUAACUUCAGGAAACUGGGGCUAAUACCGGAUAGGAGCUCCUGCUGCAUGGUGGGGGUUGGAAAGUUUCGGCGGUUGGGGAUGGACUCGCGGCUUAUCAGCUUGUUGGUGGGGGAGUGGCUUACCCAGGCUUUGACGGGUAGCCGGCCUGAGAGGGUGACCGGCCACAUUGGGACUGAGAGACGGCCCAGACUCCUACGGGAGGCAGCAGUGGGGAAUAUUGCACAAUGGGCGGAAGCCUGAUGAAGCAACGCCGCGUGCGGGAUGACGGCCUUCGGGUUGUAAACCGCUUUCGCCUGUGACGAAGCGUGAGUGACGGUAAUGGGUAAAGAAGCACCGGCUAACUACGUG